CCUGCUCGGAAGGCAGGGAUGGGGACAGAAGAAACAAGAAGUGCUCCUGGAUACGACGGGCCUGACUCUGUGAUGCUUCCAUAAUCUUCCUGACACCGCUGGGAGAAGUGCACUCACGUCCCAAGAGCAAUAGGAUCAUGAGGCCCUGAACAGUGACCUGGGUAAUUCCCCUACGACCUCUCCUAAAUGCAUACUGAUGAGGUCUGCAGGCUGUUACAGAACACAGAGCAGUCUUGCCGUGCAGGGUUCUCCAAAGUGCUAAAAAGUUCCAAUUCGCUCUCAGUGGUGGCAGAGGGAGGAGGACACACAAGGUCAGGGGCCGCUGGCUACGUGUCUGCCUGGCAAUCACCCUCAACAGCCCUGCUUUGGUCUUAACAAUCAGCCCAGAGUGUUCGCUGUGCAGCGCAUGGUGAAGCCAGGAGGGGACACACCUUGCUAACAUGAACAGAAUAAACCGAGACAAAGCCCAGAUGGUCCCGGACACAGGUCAAGGCGCUGGCACCUGGCGCGAUGCUGAGAUGCUGUGUGUGGCUUCUGGGUGAUGAUCCUGUUUGGGUUCCAUCUCAUUCUACCCCCUGGAAGAAGACUCAUGGGAGCUUCUCCUUCUGUAAAGGAUGUGUCCUGAAACGUGUACGUGCGAUAGAUUUUUCUGGGAAGUCAGGUUCUAUUUAGAAUAUGUUAGCAUAUUUCCAUACAUGAAAACAAACUCAGGAUUCUGAGAAUCUUUUAGAAAAGGGAAAAUCGUCCUUUAGAUCUUUAGAAAAAGAUCUCUAAAAUCUUUAGACCAAGAUUAUUCAUGUCUCUUUUCAUCUUGAUUAUAUUCUCCAUCCUUAUCUAUUGGAUUUAUUCAGAGUAAGAUACAACCACAUACCAUAUGGGGUCUUCCCAAUGAAGUGACAACUGACACUUCAGAGGAGAUGUGUCAUGUAAAAAAAAAAAAAAAAAAAGAAAAGAGUUUAAGUUAUUGAAAUAACUAAGUAAAAAUAUGCCAAAGGAUGAUGGUUUAUCCUUCUCUCUGGUCAUUCUUUUUUCAUCUGUUUCCAGACAGCGUAAAUCAUACACCUGAAGCUUUGAAUGUAUCUUGCUAUCUUGAAAGGCUGAAUUUAUAACUAUAAACUGGCACAGUUCCUUGGUGGUUAACCUCACCGCUCUAUCAGCGGCUGGUCAUUCCACAGCAAUGCUGUGUGGACUGCCGGCCCAGGUGUCCUCACUGAGUGCGUGUGCUUCAGGGCAGCGCCGACGCCCGUGGACUCAGAGCUGCACCUUCUCUCGCCCAGCCAAGCUUCCUCACCCACA